rnacentral:rRNA from 1 species
UACGUAGGGGGCUAGCGUUGUCCGGAAUCAUUGGGCGUAAAGAGCGUGUAGGCGGCCCGGUAAGUCCGCUGCGAAAGUCGGGGGCUCAACCCUCGAAUGCCGGUGGAUACUGGCGGGCUAGAGUGCGGAAGAGGCGAGUGGAAUUCCUGGUGUAGCGGUGAAAUGCGCAGAUAUCGGGAGGAACACCAGUGGCGAAGGCGAGUCUCUGGGAUGAUGCUGACGCUGAGGCGCGAAAGCCAGGGGAGCAAACGGG